ensembl:rRNA 5S_rRNA 5S ribosomal RNA
GCUUACGGCCAUACCACCCUGAGCACGCCCGAUCUCGUCUGAUCUCGGAAGCUAAGCAGGGUCGGGCCUGGUUAGUACUUGGAUGGGAGACCGCCUGGGAAUACCAGGUGUUGUAAGCU